UGUUCUGUGGCUUAGUUGGUUAAAGCGCUGAUUUAGCGAAUACGGAGUCGUGGGUGCAAAUCCCUCCGAAACGC
rnacentral:tRNA from 1 species